rnacentral:rRNA from 1 species
ACCGCGAAAAGCUCAUUAAAUCAGUUACGGUUCAUUGGAUAUUAAUUUUUUACAUGGAUAACUGUGGUAAAUCUAGAGCUAAUACGUGCACAAAAGCUUUGACCUUUUAGGAAAAAGCGCAUUUAUUAGACCAAGACCAAUGGUCCUUGUGACCUCAAACUUGGUGACUCUGAAUAACUGAGCUAAUCGCAUGGCCUAUGCGCCGGCGAUAUAUCCUUAAAGCGUCUGCCUUAUCAACUGUAGAUGGUAGGUUAUGUGCCUACCAUGGUUGUAACAGGUGACGGGGAAUCAGGGUUCGAUUCCGGAGAGGGAGCCUGAGAAACGGCUACCACAUCCAAGGAAGGCAGCAGGCACGCAAAUUACCCACUCUCAGAACGAGGAGGUAGUGACGAAAAAUAACAAUACGGGACUAUUAAUAGGCCCCGUAAUUGGAAUGAGUACAAUAUAAAUCCUUUAACGAGGAUCUAUUGGAGGGCAAGUCUGGUGCCAGCAGCCGCGGUAAUUCCAGCUCCAAUAGCGUAUAUUAAAGUUGCUGCGUUUAAAAAGCUCGUAGUUGUAUCUCAGUUCAUGUCAAUUGGUCAAUCACUUAAUAGUGAUUACUUUUUGACUGAACAUUAAACCGAUUUGUUUUCUGAUGCUCUUUACCGGGUGUUAUUAACGAUCGGGAUCUUUACUUUGAAAAAAUUAGAGUGCUCAAAGCACGUAACAAGGUUUUCGU